UACGGAGGGUGCAAGCGUUGUCCGGAAUCACUGGGCGUAAAGGGCGCGUAGGCGGCUCGGUAAGUAGGGGGUGAAAUCCUGCGGCUCAACCGCAGGGCUGCCUUCUAAACUGUCGAGCUCGAGCACGGUAGAGGCAGAUGGAAUUCCCGGUGUAGCGGUGGAAUGCGUAGAGAUCGGAAAGAACACCAACGGCGAAAGCACUCUGCUGGGCCGACACUGACACUGAGAGACGAAAGCUAGGGGAGCGAAUGGG
rnacentral:rRNA from 1 species